CCUACGGGAGGCAGCAGUGGGGAAUAUUGGUCAAUGGGCGAGAGCCUGAACCAGCCAAGUCGCGUGAAGGAUGAAGGAUCUAUGGUUUGUAAACUUCUUUUAUAUGGGAAUAAAGUGAGGAACGUGUUCCUUUUUGUAUGUACCAUAUGAAUAAGCAUCGGCUAACUCCGUGCCAGCAGCCGCGGUAAUACGGAGGAUGCGAGCGUUAUCCGGAUUUAGUGGGUGUAACGGGUGCGUAGGUGGUUAAUUAAGUCAGCGGUGAAAGUUUGUGGCUCAACCAUGAAAUUGCCGUUGAAACUGGUUGACUUGAGUAUAGGUGAGGUAGGCGGAAUGCGUGGUGUAGCGGUGAAAUGCAUAGAUAUCAGGAAGAACUCCGAUGGCGAAGGCAGCUUACUAAACUAUAACUGACGUUGAGGCACGAAAGCGUGGGGAUCAAACAGGAUUAGAUACCCGGGUAGUC
rnacentral:rRNA from 1 species